UACGUAGGGUGCAAGCGUUGCCCGGAUUUAUUGGGCGUAAAGGGCGCGUAGGCGGCUCGGCACGUCCGUUGUGAAAUCGCCCGGCUCAACUGGGCGGGGUCAGCGGAUACGGCCGAGCUUGAGCAAGCUAGGGGGCAAUGGAAUUCCCGGUGUAGUGGUGGAAUGCGUAGAUAUCGGGAGGAACACCAGUGGCGAAGGCGGCAUCCUGGACCGGUAUUGACGCUGAGGCGCGAAAGCCAGGGGAGCAAAGCGGG
rnacentral:rRNA from 1 species